AUUUAUUUAAGAAGUGACAUUUAUAUAUUUGCUUGAACAAAAGAAUGUUGGGUAAGAAGAAAGGCAGAUAUCGGAAUUUUAUAAACCUGUGAGGAACAUCCGGAUAGGACAAACCCACGAGAAAACGCGCAGAAAUUAUGGCGACAUGCCGACAAUUAUCCGGACGAAACGGGCAGUAAUAGAACGACCAGGAUGACCGAAGAAUAUCACCAACAAAAAAUGUUCUUGUUUGGAUAACCAAAUCACUAAGAAAAUACUUAAAUAUCUAAACAAAUAAGCAAGUAAUUAUUCGUUUAAGCUAGGGCAGUAAAACUAUUAGAUAAAAAGAAACACAUGAUUUA